UACGGAGGGUGCAAGCGUUGUUCGGAAUCACUGGGCGUAAAGCGCACGUAGGCUGAUUCAUAAGCCAAUUGUGAAAUCCCGGGGCUCAACCUCGGAAUUGCAGUUGGAACUGUGAACCUUGAAUGCUCGAGAGGGUGGGGGAAUUCCUGGUGUAGAAGUGAAAUUCGUAGAUAUCAGGAGGAACACCGGAGGCGAAGGCGCCUACCUGGCGAUGCAUUGACGCUGAGGUGCGAAAGCGUGGGUAGCAAACAGG
rnacentral:misc_RNA from 1 species